rnacentral:lncRNA from 1 species
AAGCCAGUUGUACAGGAACUGCCAAAGGCAACAGAAAUUCUUUCUCCCUAUGUCCCAGCCUACCCCCACUUUACCGAGGCCAACAGCCGCCUCAGAAACCAGAUUCAGGAGCUAACAUGCCCCAGGUCUCACGAGGAUCAGAGACUCCAGAGGCCAGGGAAGGAGAUCAAGGUAGUCAAGCGGGGGUCGUCUCAGAUCUGGUUGUGCUCGAGCUAUGCAAAUGCCUCUCACGGAGAUGCGAGGACCUAUCUAUUAUGAUGACCAGGGCCACAUCCGGAGGGGGCAACAGACUUUCAUCUAUCAGCCCUUUUCAACCACUGAUCUACUAAACUGGAAACACUCUGAACCCUGCCAUCUUGCUCCUGGUAUCAGAGAGCCCUGUCGUGCAUAACUGUGUAGAAGUGUUGGACUCGGUUUACUCCAGCAGACCUGAUCUCCGGGACCAGCCUUGGGCAUCAGUAGACUGGAAGCUAUAUGUGGACAGGAGCAGCUUCAUCAACCCACAAGGAGAGAGAUGUGCGGGAUAUGUGGUGGAACCCUGGACACUGUCGUUGAAGCCAGAUCGUUGCUCCAAGGCACUUCAGCCCAGAAAGAUGAGCUCAUUGCUUUAAUUUGGGCCUUAGAACUCAGUUAAGGCCUUCUACGGUCCCAGGCUUUCUGCUGCAUACACUGAAGGGCCACGAAGUACAGUCAUCUGGACUUGGCACCUGGAAUACAAGGAUGGAAAGCAUCAUUUCUGCCAGCUUCUUAUGGUCCUGAGGCGAGACAGUCAUGAGAGAGGAAAACUGCAAUGACUUCUGACCACUGCCAGCCUCGCUUCCUGCAUUUUCUUCUUCGGCUUACUCUUGCCAAGUUGGAGUUGCCUAACUUCCAAGAGGGUAUUUGCUCUUUUUUUUUUCUCACUCCACAAACUCUUCCCAGGUAGUUCAGUCCACUCCCAUCUACCAGUCACUAUACGCCGAUGAAUGCCAAUAUUAUUAUUUCCAGCUUAGACAUUGUUCUUGGAUUGCAGAUGUGAGGUUUGACUUGUUUACUAGACAUUGCUGGCUGAGGAUCCCUAGCAUAACAUGGCCCAAAUUCAAUUUAUUUCCAAAGCUGUCUCAUCUCCUUUGUUCUCUGUAAUGAUGUUGCUAUCCAUUCGAUCAACAUACUCAGAAAUAUCACCCCCUCCUUCCUUCUUCCAAGAUAAGUGAGUUGCUCACGACAUGAUCAUGUUUUGGCAGUGUACUCUGUCCAUUCCCAUCACUUAGUAAGAAUCAUCUAGGUUAUGCUGAAGUAUGAAGUUAAUCUCCAAAUUUCUCUGGCUCAGUACAGAAAAAGUCCAUUUCUCCCUUCUGCAAUGCACCCAAUGCAGGUCUGCAGGGUCUCUGCUGUGCGUUGUCCCUCAGGGACUCAGGCUGAAGAGGCCCCCUUGUCUUAUCUGGCCACCUCCUCUGCACAUGGCUCAGGAUUUUCCAGGCAAGGGGUUGAGCAGAGGCUUUUCAGUGCUGGGCCUGGAUGUGACAUAAGAUGCUUCUGCUCACAGCCUUGUGGUCAGAACAAGUCACAUCAUCCCUCCUACUUGCAGGGGUGCUGGGCAGCGUAGUCAUCCACAGAUCAGGAGAGGGAGCAGAGGCAGGUGUUCCCGGGCUGCAGCGAUCUCCACUGCACUGCUGUGGGCUGAACUGUGCCCUCCACCCCACCAAGCUUAUAUGCUGCCAGCCUCACCCUCCACACCUUAGAAUGUGGCUGUAUCUCGACAUAGGGUCCUUACAGAGGUAGUUAAGUUAAAGCAGGGUCAUUAGGGUGGGCCCUAAGGUACUCUGACUGGUGUUUUUAUGAGAAGAGGAGAUUAGGACUUACAGGGAGAGACACUAGGUAUGUGAGCACACAGAGAAAAGACCAUGUGAAGACGAGAAGAAGGCAACUGUCUCCAAUCCAGACGGAGAUGCCAGGCACAGCCCUUCUGUCACAACCCUCAGAAGGAACCAACCCUGCCGACACCUUGGCCUUGUACUUCUGGCCUCCAGAACCGCAGGAAAGUACAUUUCUGUUGCUUAGGCCGCUCAGCCUGUGGCACUUUGUUACAGCUUCUCACCCAGUUCAGGCCCUUUUAAUUGAUUGCUGGGCCUUUGCAGUUGUUUUUGCUUCUAAUAUAUUCAUCUCUCAAUUUAUUUCUGGAGGCUGCCACCCGAGGGGCAGAACUUCAAUUGUGUCCCUAAUGGGAAACCUUGCUGGGAUCAUGUGGUCUACAGCACAAGGUUGCUAAAGCAUCUUCUGCCAGAAUUCUGUGAGUAUCUGGUUAGGUGGGUCUGGAAUAUACUGAGUUUAAAAAAGUUAAAUAGGUUUCUUUACUGCAAGAUGUUUCAGAGACUUUAAUAUGCUACUCUGCUGUAUGAAUCUCCAGGCAGGAAAUCUUAUAAAAUGUGUUUCUGAAAUGA